GUUUUUAUUUUUCCACAGCUUUCUUGAACUGCAUCAUCCAACUCAUUUUCAGGAUUUGGGAAAAUUCCAACAAAAAUAAUUCAGAAAAAUGAAAAUUCUUGGUUGCGGUUCAAUAAAGCUGUGGGAAGAUACAGAUA
rnacentral:pre_miRNA from 1 species